AUGUGUUCAAGAGAUGGUAUAUCCCAGAAGGCUAUCCUCCAUUGCAACACUAGCAUGAUGGGGUCAUCCUCGCGCCCGUCCUCCAUGAUGUGGAAUGAAGGCACAGUGGAAAAGAAGGAGGUAGCUCGCACUGGCAAGCCAGAGCGCACCUCCUUCAAGUGUUUCCAAUGCAACAAGACAUUCCCAACCCAGCAGGCCAUGGCUGGCCACUGCAGCGCCCACACCCGGGCUAGCUUCCGGAAGAGGGCGGUUGCUAGACACACCAAUCAGAUCUCUAAUGCUCCUGCCAGGGUUUCCUUGCCUCGCAACCCUCCACGGGUUCCCCAACAUCAUAAUGUUGAUGCCAUCCACUUUUGGUGUUCGCUGGACCAUAUCUCAACCAGGAGCAACCCUGUGUUGCCACUAGGUAUAAGGUAUGUUCCGUAUGUUCGUCCAACCAGCAACCAAGUGAUGGUGACGGUUCCAUACCUUGAUUUAAAUCGUCAUAGUACCAUGACACCAGUGAUGAUGGAUCCAACUAGAAAUCCUGCAUUAGAGCCUCUAGCACCAUCUCCUAGCAUGCCAACAUCCACACUGCUUGGCUGGAGAGCCUUUGUCCCUAUCUAUAGUAUGCCAUCCUAUGGAGUUAAUGUUGCUCCACCCAGUGAUGCUUUGUCCUUGACGAAUACACCAAAACGCACAGAAACUGAUCUGACACUCCAGUUGGGAUCUGGUAAUAAACACACCCAAAAGAGGACACUACCUUUGCUCAAGUCACUAAUAAUGGCAUCAAACAUUCGGCAAGGUGCCAAUCGUAGAUGCAAGCUGGCAACAGAUGGUGUUGAUCAAGGUAACAUGGGGGAAAGUCAAGCGGACGGCUUAGAUCUGGAGUUACAUUUGUUUCGCUAG
rnacentral:rRNA from 1 species